GAUGAACGCUAGCGGCAGGCUUAAUACAUGCAAGUCGUGGGGCAGCAGGGGUGUAGCAAUACAUCUGCUGGCGACCGGCAAACGGGUGCGUAACACGUACGCAACCUUCCUGUUACAGGGGAAUAGCCCAGGGAAACUUGGAUUAAUACCCCAUAUUAUAUUGGUCAGGCAUCUGACUAUUAUCAAAGCUUCGGCGGUAACAGAUGGGCGUGCGGUUGAUUAGGUAGUUGGCGGGGUAACGGCCCACCAAGCCUACGAUCAAUAGCUGAUGUGAGAGCAUGAUGAGCCACGCGGGCACUGAGAGACGGGCCCGACUCCUACGGGAGGCAGCAGUAAGGAAUAUUGGGCAAUGGACGAAAGUCUGACCCAGCCAUGCCGCGUGAAGGAUGAAGGUCCUCUGGAUUGUAAACUUCUUUUAUCUGGGGCGAAAGUCGGUUAUUCUUAGCCGCUUGACAGUACCAGAGGAAUAAGCACCGGCUAACUCCGUGCCAGCCGCCGCCGUAACAC
rnacentral:rRNA from 1 species